UACGGGGGGUGCAAGCGUUGUUCGGAAUCAUUGGGCGUAAAGCGCGCGCAGGCGGCUUGGUAAGUCAGAUGUGAAAUCCCUGGGCUUAACCCAGGAAGUGCAUUUGAUACUGCCUCGCUAGAGUACGGGAGAGGAAAGUGGAAUUCCUGGUGUAGAGGUGAAAUUCGUAGAUAUCAGGAGGAACACCGGUGGCGAAGGCGACUUUCUGGCCCGAUACUGACGCUCAGGCGCGAAAGCGUGGGGAGCAAACAGG
rnacentral:rRNA from 3 species